rnacentral:tRNA from 1 species
UGGGGCGUGGCCAAGUGGUAAGGCAACGGUUUCUGGUACCGUCACUCGUGGGUUCGAAUCCCUCCGCCCCAGCCA